rnacentral:rRNA from 1 species
AGGGUUCGAUCCUGGCUCAGAACGUACGCUGGCGGCACGCCUAACACAUGCAAGUCGAACGAAGUAGCAAUACUUAGUGGCAGACGGGUGAGUAGCAUGUAGGUAUCUGCCCUUGGCCUGGAAUAACACGAGGAAACUUGUGCUAAUACCGGAUAAGUCUUUACGGAGAAAGCUUAAUGCACCAUUGGAUGAGCCUGCACUUGAUUAGUUUGUUGGUGGGGUAAUGGCCUACCAAGACUGUGAUCAAUAGCUGAUUUGAGAGGAUGAUCAGCCACAUUGGGACUGAGACACGGCCCAAACUCCUACGGGAGGCAGCAGUGGGGAAUCUUGCACAAUGGAGGAAACUCUGAUGCAGCGAUGCCGCGUGAGUGAAGAAGGCCCUUGGGUUGUAAAGCUCUUUCGUCGGGGAAGAAAAUGACUGUACCCGAAUAAGAAGGUCCGGCUAACUUCGUGCCAGCCGCCACGGUAAUAC